rnacentral:rRNA from 1 species
GACGAACGCUGGCGGCGUGCCUAACACAUGCAAGUCGAGCGGAGUCGAUCGACGGAAGCCUUCGGGCGGAAGAUGGUUGACUUAGCGGCGGAUGGGUGAGUAACGCGUGGGCAACCUGCCUCGAAGACCGGGAUAACAGUCCGAAAGGGCUGCUAAUACCGGAUGUGGUCAAGGAUCCGCAUGGAUUUUGAUUAAAGGGGAAACCCGUUUCGAGAUGGGCCCGCGUCCUAUCAGCUAGUUGGUGAGGUAAAAGCUCACCAAGGCGACGACGGGUAGCCGGCCUGAGAGGGUGACCGGCCACACUGGAACUGAGACACGGUCCAGACUCCUACGGGGGGCAGCAGUGGGGAAUCUUCCACAAUGGGCGAAAGCCUGAUGGAGCGACGCCGCGUGAGCGAAGAAGGCCUUCGGGUUGUAAAGCUCUGUCUGGAGGGACGAAGGAAGUGACGGUACCUCCGGAGGAAGCCACGGCUAACUACGUG